rnacentral:rRNA from 1 species
AGUAGUUGACUAUGGGCUCAGAACGAACGCUGGCGGCAGGCCUAACACAUGCAAGUCGAGCGCGCCCUUCGGGGUGAGCGGCGGACGGGUUAGUAACGCGUGGGAACGUACCCUUUGGUAGGGAAUAGCCACUGGAAACGGUGAGUAAUACCCUAUGAGCCCUUCGGGGGAAAGAUUUAUCGCCAAAGGAUCGGCCCGCGUUAGAUUAGGUAGUUGGUGGGGUAAUGGCCUACCAAGCCUACGAUCUAUAGCUGGUUUUAGAGGAUGAUCAGCAACACUGGGACUGAGACACGGCCCAGACUCCUACGGGAGGCAGCAGUGGGGAAUCUUGGACAAGUGGGGCAACCCUGAAUCCAGCCAUGCCGCGUGAGUGAAGAAGGCCUUAGGGUCGUAAAGCUCUUUCGCCUGUGAAGAUAAUGACGGUAGCAGGUAAAGAAACCCCGGCUAACUCCGUGCCAGCCGCCGC